GACGAACGCUGGCGGCGUGCCUAAUACAUGCAAGUAGAACGCACAGUUUAUACCGUAGCUUGCUACACCAUAGACUGUGAGUUGCGAACGGGUGAGUAACGCGUAGGUAACCUGCCUGGUAGCGGGGGAUAACUAUUGGAAACGAUAGCUAAUACCGCAUAAUAUUAAUUAUUGCAUGAUAAUUAAUUGAAAGGUGCAAUUGCACCACUACCAGAUGGACCUGCGUUGUAUUAGCUAGUAGGUGAGGUAACGGCUCACCUAGGCGACGAUACAUAGCCGACCUGAGAGGGUGAUCGGCCACACUGGGACUGAGACACGGCCCAGACUCCUACGGGAGGCAGCAGUAGGGAAUCUUCGGCAAUGGACGAAAGUCUGACCGAGCAACGCCGCGGGAGUGAAGAAGGUUGUCGGAUCGUAAAGCUCGGUUGUAAGAGAAGAACGGGUGUGAGAGUGGAAAGUUCACACUGUGACGGUAUCUUACCAGAAAGGGACGGCUAACUACGUG
rnacentral:rRNA from 1 species